rnacentral:rRNA from 1 species
GACGAACGCUGGCGGCGUGCUUAACACAUGCAAGUCGAACGGAAAGGCCCUGCUUUUGUGGGGUGCUCGAGUGGCGAACGGGUGAGUAACACGUGAGUAACCUGCCCUUGACUUUGGGAUAACUUCAGGAAACUGGGGCUAAUAUCGGAUAGGAGCUCCUGCUGCAUGGUGGGGGUUGGAAAGUUUCGGCGGUUGGGGAUGGACUCGCGGCUUAUCAGCUUGUUGGUGGGGUAGUGGCUUACCAAGGCUUUGACGGGUAGCCGGCCUGGGAGGGUGACCAGCCACAUUGGGACUGAGAUAGGGCCCAGACUCCUACGGGAGGCAGCAGUGGGGAAUAUUGCACAAUGGGCGGAAGCCUGAUGCAGCAACGCCGCGUGCGGGAAGACGGCCUUCGGGUUGUAAACCGCUUUCGCCUGUGACGAAGCGUGAGUGACGGUAAUGGGUAAAGAAGCACCGGCUAACUACGUG